rnacentral:lncRNA from 10 species
CUCAGCAGUCAGGGCUCUUGAGGUCUAGGAGGUGCUGCUGAGGGAGGGAAGGUUCGGGUUCUGCUUUCAGACCCUAAGAAUCCAAAUGAACCCGCCUAAUGACUUGGCGGAAGUUGGCUAGCUCCAAGGUCCAACAUUAUUUCAUCUUCGUCUCAGCAACUUGACCAGGACUUGUAGAGGCUCACAUAUGUGACUUCAUUGGCUGACAGGCUUCUGUGCUCCUUUAUGGCAUAAACGGCAUGAUCAAACGGUUAUCCACCAUAAUAUCUGC